GAUGAACGCUGGCGGCGUGCUUAACACAUGCAAGUCGAACGGGAAACCUUUUAUUGAAGCUUCGGCAGAUUUAGCUGGUUUCUAGUGGCGGACGGGUGAGUAACGCGUGGGUAACCUGCCUUAUACAGGGGGAUAACAACCAGAAAUGGUUGCUAAUACCGCAUAAGCGCACAGGACCGCAUGGUCCGGUGUGAAAAACUCCGGUGGUAUAAGAUGGACCCGCGUUGGAUUAGCUAGUUGGCAGGGUAACGGCCUACCAAGGCGACGAUCCAUAGCCGGCCUGAGAGGGUGAACGGCCACAUUGGGACUGGUACACGGCCCAGACUCCGGCGGGAGGCAGCAGUGGGGAAUAUUGCACAAUGGGGGAAAGCCUGAUGCAGCGACGCCGCGUGAAGGAAGAAGUAUCUCGGUAUGUAAACUUCUAUCAGCAGGGAAGAUAGUGACGGUACCUGACGAAGAAGCCCCGGCUAACUACGU
rnacentral:rRNA from 1 species